rnacentral:rRNA from 1 species
AGCGAACGCUGGCGGCAGGCCUAACACAUGCAAGUCGAACGAACUCUUCGGAGUUAGUGGCGGACGGGUGAGUAACACGUGGGAACGUGCCUUUUGGUUCGGAAUAACUCAGGGAAACUUGUGCUAAUACCGAAUGUGCUCUUCGGGGGAAAGAUUUAUCGCCAUUAGAGCGGCCCGCGUCGGAUUAGCUAGUUGGUGAGGUAACGGCUCACCAAGGCGACGAUCAGUAGCUGGUCUGAGAGGAUGACCAGCCACACUGGGACUGAGACACGGCCCAGACUCCUACGGGAGGCAGCAGUGGGGAAUCUUGCGCAAUGGGCGAAAGCCUGACGCAGCCAUGCCGCGUGAAUGAUGAAGGUCUUAGGAUUGUAAAAUUCUUUCACCGGGGACGAUAAUGACGGUACCCGGAGAAGAAGCCCCGGCUAACUUCGUG